rnacentral:lncRNA from 1 species
AUAGAAGUGAAACCAAUUUGUCCCAUCCUUGUUUGCAUGUUGAGUAAGCUCCCUAUCUCUCUAGCACAUAAAAAAGGAAUGGAAUUUGAUCAAGAACUACCAUCAGUCUGCUGCAUGUUGCGUAACUCUCAUUUCUCUCUAGUGGAUCUUGAGCAUUGUUGUUUAGGACUUGGUCGCCACCGUGUCCAUGGAGCAGCACCCCGUCUCAAUGUCAUUGCGAUUCUUCAACCCACAUGGCCUUCUCCUCGUACCUCCUCUGCUGUCAAAUGUGGGCUUCAGGUCAUCCCGGAUGUGGAACGGGUCUUUCUUCUUCUUCUCCUUCUCAUCGGUUUUCAAACUUGACCAGCAAUCAAGCUAGGGCAUCAGUUCUCGUUGAUUAGCAGAAUAUUUAUAUUGCAAAAACAACUUAGUUUUUACGUCAGGUUGAUUCAGUUAACACUUUCGUCUCAGAAGUUGCUGCAUAGGAUUCCGAGCAGAUUCACCAAAGUGAUUCAGCACCUUUUGUGGUGGAAUAUCAUGAGUCCGAUCUUGAGGUUGUGAGUGCCCUCCAACUCCGUCCAUCAGGCGUCCGUGGACCGGUCCAUACGUCUGAAUUUCCAUAAACCAGCAGCAAACCUGGACCUGCGGGGCAGCUGUGAAGUGAGACAUACAAAAAUUAUCUUUGAAGCCCCUUGGUUUGUAGUCAUAGAAUCCUUUGUAGUAUUUCAUAGGAAAAAAACAUUAGCCUCGACUCAAUAAAAUAAUUUCCUAUCCUAUAAAUCACAUGACAUCUCUUUUUCUAUUGAUAUUACUACUCUAUGCAUCAAAUGAGACCUUAACAUUUUUACAUGUAAGUCUAGACUUUAGAGUUCAUAACUGUUAAUUAUCACUUGCCGCUUUAUGGUUGGUAAGACAUAAUAGGAGUACCAAAUAUCAGAGUAGCUCUGGCGAUGUGUUUAUGUUAUGUACAUGUAUGUUCUCGUGAUUAAGGCUGUGCUCGGCAACCUCUGCUCCUUAACUACGGAGCGGAGCAGCUUGUUAGCCGCUCGCCGAAAUAUAAGUGCGUGAAAUAUAAUUGCGUGCUGCUCCGCUCUAAGUUUAUGUUCUGAUUAUACCACUUAACACAUUUCUGUUCUGCUUCCUGUCGUAUAAUACAGGUAAAAUCGCGCAAGACGGCCACGGAUGAGACUCGUUCAUCCAAAGGUGAGGAUGUUGCCGCUGGUCGAGUUAGCGAACUGGCCCAGGAAUCACGACUUCCCUUUUACGCCGCCUACUGGGAUGGUACUGGUCACAUGAGAGCUAUCCAGGUGCAUUUCUAACGCUGGAAAAAGUGUUCCUCUUUUGAUUGUUCUAAAGAUGUGAACUGUACAUUUCAAACAAAUCCUUCUACACCCUCAUGUGCGUAAAGGCGACUCUAUUGGAGAAUUCUUGAGGGCUAAUCAUCAGCAGCUAGCUCCAGAGUUCCAUCAAGUACGGACAACAUCGGUUCAGAACCUACUCUAUAUCAGGAAGAUCUCGUUAUCCCUCAUGUACGUAAUGUUUGAGUUUGUUCCCUAAUAAGUUGCCCUUUUGUUUUUGCUGUAAUAAGUUUUAUUCUGUUCCCAUUUAAUGUUUGUUAUUUUGAUUUGACAGCAACACAGCUUGUACGAGUUAAUUAUUAAUAAAGCAAGGGGCAAGAGUGAACCGGUAAUGCUUGUUCCUUCACUACUACCGGCUGUUCCUAACAAUUGCUCUAAGAACCUGAGUGUUCACAUGCUAGAGGUGACAGCAACUUGUUGAAUCAUGUAACACAAUUUGAAAGGUAAUCAGCCAUAUUUUGACACCAUUCUCUCAGCACUUAAAUACGUCAUAAUUUUUGCCUACACAGUUUGCAAGAUACAGAUUUCAUGUCAUAAUCUACUGCUAGAUACUCCAAAAGCAAUGAACCAAGCCCGAAGCCGGUUCCGCCCAUUACUGAAAAUCAAGAAAUAUUGGAGACCGGUGCAGUUAUCUAGGGUUGGGCUUCCCUCUACCGUUUCCUUCGCAAAAGAAACAAACACGAACUAUAAUGAGGAUACCUGAGUAUUUCCAUGAAAGCUUUUUGUCUAUAAAUGCAAACAAUCUUUAAUAUUAUUAUUUAAGCACCAAUUACUCAUUCCUUUGGUUCUAGUAGUCAGUUAUAAUCAGGUAACAGUAGGUUUAGUUUUUUUUGGUAAACCCAUUUCAACAAACAUUUAAAGCUGACACUACCAUUUAUCAUAAAGACCCCCAUGGACAUGACGGACUGAACCGAGUGAGAAAAACAAGUUAAGUAAACUGAAUGUAGGCCUUCAAUUAUCAAUGCUGCAUUUCUUUUAAUUCUCUCUAGAGACUGGUAGAGGCAUAGCCUUUCAAUAACAAUAAAUAGAAUAUGUUUAACAGUUAUUUACAAGCUCGUAUCGUUCUAGUGGCAUCCAAAUGGGAGAAAUCUUUAUGUUUUCAGCAAAGUACAACGCACUCAGACUCAUGCUAUCAUUCUGGAAUCUCAGUUUCGACUAUACAAGCCUAUUGUAAUGUACUCAGACUCAUGCUAUUGAUCCGGCUACUUUAUGUGCUAAGGACUUCCUUGUAUACUAUGUUCUUCAUGGUCGUUAAUAAGGGCUCAGACCUUUUUCGCUUCUUUGAAUUCUUGCUUUGUUCCUUGCCCUUGCCUUUACCCUUGCCGUCGUCCUUGAUGGCGAGAAUAUUAAUGUUCCUCUUCGCGGUGGCUCUAGACAAUGCAACGUAGAGCUGACCGUGAGAGAAAAUCGGGUCAGGUAGGUACACCCCAACAAUCGGUAUGGUCUGUCCUUGCGCCUUGUUGAUCGUCAUGGCAAAGCUGAGCCUAAUAGGGAACUGCUUCCUCUUGAACUUGAAAGGGAAGAUAUCAUCAUCGGAUGGACAUAGAGGUAUCCGAGGAAGGAACACCCUCCUACCAGCAUGUUGUCCUAGCACGAUUUCUGCGUCGAUGGCGUUCCUCUGGAAACCCCGGACCACAAGCCUUGUGCCGUUACAUAACCCAUUAGCUGGAUCUAUAUUUCUCAAUAGUAUAAUGGGGCAACUUAUCUUUAGUUUGAGGGCAUGCGGAGGCAGCCCGUUGGGAGUCAGGUUGUUGAGGAACUCAGGGGCAUAGUAGCCGUGUGGGUCAUCCUCUGCACUAUCAAAACUAUGGUAGAUCUUCUCUUCGCCCUGGAAGCGCUCUAUCAUGCGUGUGUUUAUCUUAUCAACGUUGUCGUUCUUGGUGGAGAGGAUCGCUCGAGAUGUCAUGUAAUUAGGAUCAGACAUGUUGUGGUCUAGAGCAGGAAAUACAUGGUCGAUUAGCUUCUCUAGGUCAACGCCGUCUCCCGUUGGCGGCACACAAAUGUCUUGAGGGAGACUGAUGUUGCCUUCGUCGUCGGUUUCUUCGGUGCCGUUGCCUACCCUUAGCAAGUAAUUUGCGAACCACGGGUCAUUAUGCGCCCUCAUGUUCGUGAUGAGCCUUAGCUGGCGCAUACCCUUCCAAAGGUACGAACUCCGCAGGGUCGCAUCGAUUAUCUGACCCCGUGACCCUUUCCUGACGACUGGAAGCACCUGCCUGAAGUCCCCACCGAACACGACAGCUUUCCCCCCGAACGGUUGGUGCCGUCGUCCCGUAAUGUCCCGCAUACUAUUAUCCAGUGCCUCAACAGCUUGCCGCUUCGUCAUGCUGGCCUCGUCCCAUAGGAUGAGGGAAGCCAUGCGCAGGAGCUUGGCCGUCCCACUUUGCUUGGUGAAGCUGCACGACGCCCCAUCUUCAAUGCUGAGUGGGAUCUUGAACCUCGAGUGGGAUGUCUUGCCUCCAGGCAUGAUGGAAGCCGCGACGCCAGACGUCGUCGUCGCCACCGCUAUCUUGCCCUCCCCCCGAACCUUUGCGAGUAGUGCCCUGUAUAGGAAGGUCUUCCCAGUGCCUCCCGGGCCAUCGACAAAGAAUACACCCCCAUCACCGGCAUCUACUGCUGCCAGGAUCUCGUCGUAUGCAAGCCUUUGAUCAUGGUUUAGCGAGGACGCUAAAGCAGCGUCGUGUGCGUCAACCUCGAUGGUGGACUCCUCUGUGACUUCUCUGGCCUCGCCUCCGGUAGUGUCAUAGGUCUCGUCGAUGUCCGGAAGAGGGAACAACGCUAUGUCUUUGCCCAUUGACUGUAGCAUGCCCCUGAUGUCUAGCAACACCAUCUGCUCCACUGCCUUUGAGCAAGUGUGUGAUCGGCGGUAGUCAUCAGACAUCGCCUCUAGGUGCCUAUCCCAUAGACCGCGCACGUCACCUGGCUUGCAGAAUACCAAGAUUGUUGCAAAGAGCCUCCUGAGCGAGGCUGGCAUCGCGAAUUGUGUUGACUCUGUAAGAGACUCGUCAAGCGUGUUGUCGGCCUCGAUGAGGCCCAAUCUCUUGGCAGCCUCACGAAAGCUAUCACAUAGCACACUGUCCACGGUCCUCAAGUCCUCGAAGGAUGUCUUGCCUGGUACGUGGUUGAGCAGCACUCGUAGAAAGUACCGCUCCCCUCCGCUGGAUGUGCUGACACGAUUCGACCUACUUGGUGUUGCUUUUGCCUCGGCCUCCAGUACUUUGUUCUCUGCCAUGUGAAACUUCCCGAAAAAUCCUUGUACAGGAUGUCUCGAGCCCAAACAUGCUGCUGAUUAGCGAGGAAAUACUCCGUCAGCAUUGACUUAGAUGCUUUAUCACGGGCGACAACAUCGGUCAGGUCCUCUCCUGCUUUGAAUGUGACACUAUGCAUAUCUGGGAGAUGAAGCGGCAACUGUAGGACCGACGGGAAACUCUCGAAAAGAUUGAAGCCGAAUACCCUCCACAUCGCCUCCGGUGGAGUAACCCAUCUCGCAUCGAUGUACCUUUUAAUCUCGUCUACAACCCCUUUCUCGUCAGGCUGGUCGAUGCUGAUUGAAGCUCGAUCGUGGCCCUUGUAUACGUAUUUGUAGAGGUACUUGAUGGCCUUGAUGCUGGAGCACACCUCGACAUUUAUGUGGCAGUUGAACAUCCGCAACAGAUAAGGGUUGUAAGGCACCACCCAUCUGUUAUCCAGCAUCUGACGGCGGACCUUAGCCUGACGACCAUCGUCCCGCCGUCGAUAGACAGGGUACGAAUCCUUCCCCUGUAAGGUGUUCUGGUUGAAUGGUCGUGGGUACUGGCUCUUGCACUUCAAGUCUUGCAUACACACAUUUUUGGGAUUUAGAUUACCGCAUGGGCCGUGCAUCAUAUGCUUGACGACCAUGGCAUAGAGGUCAGGAUACUUAUGCUUGUCCGGGAGCUCUGCGGAUAUGAUGCGGUCAUACUGCUCUGGCACCACAAGUUUAUAUUCUCUAUUCAUGAUCAACAGGAAGUGCGCGUGGGGGAGGCCCCUCUUCUGGAACUCCACGACAUACACAUACGCGACCACAACACCCAGGAUGUGCUUCUUGAACAACAUCUCUUUCAUGGUCUCCAACUUGGCCCUAAACACUCGUGCGACAAGAUAUGGUCGGUCCUGGGGUGUCUGGCCAGGAAGCAGGUCAUUCAGUAUCUCCUCCCAGCUAGGAUUGCACGUCAUAGUCAAAAAGAUGUCAGGCUUCCCAUAGGUUUGCACCAGUGCCAUAGCGUCCAUAUGCCUCCCCUUCAUGUCUUGGUUGCUCCCCUGAUGCGUCCCUGGGAGCAAGAUCCUCUUGCCAACAGCACUCGCUCGCACCUCCCCAGCCGCGAUGCUAUCCACAAGGCCUUGAUAUAGGUCGGCACGUAUCUGUGUUUGGUGGUCCCUGAUCCACUUGAGCCUACAACCCUCAAUCUUGAUGAACAUGUCCACACCGCACUGCUGGAACAGGCGUGCUCCGUGAAGUAUGGGGUUGAAUAUCGUAGGGCGUGUCUGUAGCCGGUAACAGUAGUAGUCCCUGACAGAGACACACAACCGGGUGUUCCCCUCUGUGCAAAGACGUGAAAGAAGGUUAGGUACCAUAUGGGAAGGAUAAACAAUGUUUCUAUUUUUUGCAUAUAAGCAUACCAAACGGGUGAACCUGAAUCGUUAUCGUGGUUCCGUCUUGGUUGUUGUGCAAGCUCCCAAGGGACAUUGCGCUUCGGGAUAUUUGGAUGCCAACCAAGCUCCCCCCUUGGGAAAAAGAGGGGAUACGAGAGCGGGUAAUAGCAGCCAUCUGUGGCAUGUAUACUAUGCCUCUCGUUGUUAUCCCCAUAGAGUGUAAUGUUGCGGUUGAACCUGUUUGCUAGAUCGUUUCCCUCGACCCAAAUUGCAGCCACCUCGGAUGACACAGGUCUGUUAUAUCUCCGUUGAUCUAGCUUCUGGUCAGUGUUGAGGUCUAUCCGGUACUCCUCGAGGUUUUCCUUGUGGGCACCCAAACUUCUAAACUAUUGGGAGUAGGGGUUGCCCCUGAGGAUGCCCACUAACUUGCUGACAACGCGUUGGUCCAAUUUCUUGGUAGCCUCCUUGCGAUGGCUUAAGUUGGGGUCGUCGUCAUAGAAGUAUAGCUGCAGAUGUCCAGGAUGAGCUGUUGGUCCGAACGAAUGCACUUUGUGGUAAAUAGUGCCCUGCGCCCGAAACGUGUAUACCCCAGAUUUCAUGUUCGUAUAGUUGUUGUCUAGGCUGACGCCAAGGGUAGUGAAGGAGAAGUGGUCGUUGAAGAACCGAAUGCUCUCCCGGAAGUGCCGAGAGUCUGCAUCUGCGCUAGACCAUAACCUCAUCAGCUCUGGAAUAGGCUCUGGUUCGGCCAACUGUAUUUCCCCAUUUCGACAGCAGAAGCCAUCCGUCUCGUACUGGAACUUCUUGGCUUUGCAAUGGUCGCAGUUCGCCGCGUGCUUCAGGAUGUGCGUGCUGUCUGGGAUGUUCGAGUAGACAUAGUCAAAAGGAUCAAGGUCGAUAUGUCCCGUUUUGGAGGAGUCCAUGGGCUGAUCGAUGUCCGUGCCAUCAGCGUCGUAUCCUGCAAGCAUCGUUGAGACAUAACAUGUCAUGAUAGGAUUUACAUCAUAAAUGAAUAGUAUACAGGGACGAGAAGCGAAAGGCGCUUCAGAGUACCUUCACCGGCAAACAGGUAGUACUCAUCAUCCAUGAGGCCAUCGGGGAGUGCAUUAUCGUCCAUUAUGCCGCAGAGGAAGGCUUCCAUAUCAGCUGCAACAUUGUUGAGCCGGUAAGACGGUGUGCUUGAUGAAGGGGGAGGAAGGUUUAGUGUGACUGGUGACAUGGUGGAGAGUAAAGAUGAGAGGGUUACCAUCGGUCCCUAUGGUGUAAGACGGCGUGCUUGAUGAAGGGGGGGAAGCCAGUGAAGCAGGUCCUGUGGGUGGUGAAGAUGAGCUUGUUGCUGAUUUGUUCACAUCUAAGCUACUUGCCGCUUGGUGGGGAGUCCUCCGUUUAGCUUGAAAGCUUGCAUUACGACGAUCUAGCAAUGCUGACUUCUUACCUUCUUGCGACGCAUUUAUGUGCUCUUCCUGUUUAUCACCGUCGCCCAAGGUACGACUAAGGUACUCGCCUGCACCGUUAGUGAGCCAGUAACUACUCGUUGAACACACAUGGACAUAUGAAGUAUUGUAAAGAUAGGGGGAUUACCGUAUGAUUCCAAUCCGUGACCAGCCUUAUUUGCUGAGCGAGGGGCUUGUGAUGAAGCGGCGGGUUCUCGGACUGCCAACGCAUGAGUGGUCGACAUCAGGUUGGGGGCAGCUAAGGUAGAUGCAUCUGGUCGCGGCAUUGCUAUGGAUUCAAUGCAAGGGGUGUUGCGCAUAGCCACGAGUUUUGCGUUUCUGUGAGCUCUCAUAUUCUGCUUCUCUUCGGGUGACAUGUUCUGCACACGUGCUCUUCGACGGGAGUUUGUCUCUUGCUUAUCGACGUCGGUCAUAUUUUGGUAGGCAACCCUUCUACCACUAUUCAUAUCUUGCCUGUCCUGGACUGACAUAUUUUGGUAGGCUGCCCUUCUAAGGGUGCUGCUCUGUUCCUUCUCCUCUGAUCUCAUAUGUUGCCUGGAUUCUCUUUGACAGGAAUUCCUCUCCUCAUCUGUCUUCGUUUUCCUAACUGCUCUGCGACGUGCAUUGAUUUCCUCCUUCUGUUCAGGUGUUAACCUAUUUCGCCGUGCUAUAUAUUGGUCUCGCCUUUUCUGUUUUUUGUCCGAUGCAAUGACUGCGCUUGAAGCUAGUUGUUGAGGACCAGUCUGUGAGGUGUUGAGGCUCGGUACUAUAUAUGAAACAAUAUCAUGCUCAGCGCUGCUGGGUAUUCCUCCAAGUGAUGCACGAUGAUCAUUGCAGGCCUCUUCACGGGAAUGAUUUCCUGAAGAACCAUUUUAUGGAGCACUUUGGUUAUGGAUUGGAUAAAUGCUAACGGAAAAUAUGUUAGUGGUCAAGGGCGAUACCACUUGAUUUUUCGACAUGCUGCACUGGCCGAAAGGCCGUGAGAUUGCCGGCUAUGGGAACCAUCAUACGGAGUUGAGUGGACAGAUUGUCAUCAUCGUCGGAAGACGAAACACUGUUGUUAGUAGUGUCUGUUUGGUCACGUAUGAAAAAACCAGACAGUGGCCGGUGGGUAAUGGUGGUUGUCUCCUUGGUGUCCUCUCAUAUUCAACAACUGAUAAGAAUUAAUUUAAGAUAAGUUGUGAAAGUUUAAUGUAUACCUUAUAUGCAGACAUGUGAUUGGCAUCGACAUACCUCUUUUUCCUUUAUCGUACACAUUCCCG